rnacentral:tRNA from 1 species
GGAGAUGUAGCUCAGUUGGUAGGGUGCUAGCUUAGCAUGCAAGAGUCCUUGAUUGAGUUCAACGCCCA